GAGGGCGUGAGAGAGAGAGGGAGAGAGUUUCUGGUAAUCCGCUAACUGCUGGCGGUUUUUUAUUCCGCUGACUGUUUUCUAGUGAGGGUGUGAGAGUGUGAAUCAGUCCGGUGUCAAAGGAAAUAGAGACAGCCUUUUUAUGUCUUCACCACAUCCCUGCUUCUGUCAGUCGGAGAUAAAGGCGUCCACCAAAGCUCAGUAAACUUGAUUCCUCCACCAACCGUUAGGGAGCGGAGAGGGUCUCCUGUUCGGCAGCUCGUGGAAGAAGGUUCAGCUCAUCUCAUGCAAGCAUCAGGGACACAGCCUUUUAAGAUGCAACAGGGAAAAGAAUAACAUCAUACACUAUGGAGACAUGUGUGGACUAAGGAGGAUGUGAAGAUGCCCCAGACUGCUGCUAAAAGUAGAGAAGAAGCGUGGAG